rnacentral:rRNA from 1 species
UACGAAGGACCCAAGCGUUAUCCGGAUUUAUUGGGUUUAAAGGGUGCGUAGGCGGAUUAUUAAGUCAGUGGUGAAAGCCUGCAGCUUAACUGCAGAAUUGCCAUUGAUACUGGUGAUCUUGAGUAUGAUUGAGGUGGGCGGAAUGUGUCAUGUAGCGGUGAAAUGCUUAGAUAUGACACAGAACACCGAUUGCGAAGGCAGCUCACUAAGCCAUAACUGACGCUGAUGCACGAAAGCGUGGGGAGCAAACAGG